rnacentral:rRNA from 1 species
AACGAACGCUGGCGGCAUGCCUAACACAUGCAAGUCGAACGAGACCUUCGGGUCUAGUGGCGCACGGGUGCGUAACGCGUGGGAACCUGCCCUUAGGUUCGGAAUAACUCCCCGAAAGGGGGGCUAAUACCGGAUAAUGUCUUCGGACCAAAGAUUUAUCGCCUUUGGAUGGGCCCGCGUUGGAUUAGCUAGUUGGUAGGGUAAAAGCCUACCAAGGCGAAGAUCCAUAGCUGGUCUGAGAGGAUGAUCAGCCACACUGGGACUGAGACACGGCCCAGACUCCUACGGGAAGCAGCAGCGGGGAAUAUUGGACAAUGGGCGAAAGCCUGAUCCAGCAAUGCCGCGUGAGUGAUGAAGGCCUUAGGGUUGUAAAGCUCUUUUACCCGGGAUGAUAAUGACAGUACCGGGAGAAUAAGCUCCGGCUAACUCCGUG